UAUGUGAUCGUCUCUCGCAUAUCAAUAAGCGGAGGAAAAGAAACUAACAAGGAUUCCCCUAGUAACGGCGAGUGAAGCGGGAAGAGCUCAAAUUUGAAAUCUUAAAGGGUUUCCCUUUACGAAUUGUAGUUUAAAGAAGUGUUUUCUGUUGAGGUUUUGGUAAAAGUUCUUUGGAAUAGGACAUCAUAGAGGGUGAGAAUCCCGUAUUUGACCUUUACUUUCAACUUUGUGAUACACUUUCAAAGAGUCGGAUUGUUUGGGAAUGCAGUCCAAAAUGGGUGGUAAAAUUUCAUCUAAAGCUAAAUAUUGGCGAGAGACCGAUAGCGAACAAGUACCGUGAGGGAAAGAUGAAAAGAACUUUGAAAAGAGAGUUAAACAGUACGUGAAAUUGUCAAAAGGGAAGCGUUUGACACCAGUGUUGUUUUUCUGAAAAUCAAUUAAAGAACUGUUUAUGCUAAGCUGUUUAGACUUUAUCAGCUAUCUGUUUAGUUUUGAGCUUUUCUUUAAUGCACUUUUCAGUUAACAAGUCAACAUCAAUUUCUUUUGCUGUAAAAAAGCUUGAGGAAGGUGGCUUGAGAUUCGUCUUAAGUGUUUAUAGCCUCUUGCCUAUGCAGUCGGAGAGAUUGAGGUCUGCAGCGUAGAUCCUUCGGGGCUAAAUGCAUUUGUGCUAAGUUAUAACAUUUUAUAGACAACUUGUUGACUAUGAUUUGUCUUGUAGCUUACUCGCUUAUGUUAUUUUACCUACGCUUAGGAUGUUGAGUAGCGACAUACGCAC
rnacentral:rRNA from 1 species